rnacentral:rRNA from 1 species
GGGUCAGUAGGUCGGUCGUGCCACCGGUACGUACUGGUCUCACUGAUUCCUCCUUCCUGAAGAACCGUAAUGCCAUUAAUUUGGUGUUGCGGGGAAACAGGACUGUUACUUUGAAAAGAUUAGAGUGUUUAAAGCAAGCUAACGCUUGAAUACAUUAGCAUGGAAUAAUGAAAUAGGACGAUCGAUCCUAUUUUGUUGGUUUCUAGGAUUGACGUA